UGAUAGGUGCAUUAUUUAUCAUAUUUUCAUAUUAAUUAUCCCUAAGUUUUGUUAAGGAAUUGAUUACAAAAGAGCCUUAUUAUUUUCCUUUUUUCUGUUUCAGCCAUUCUGCGCACUUAGGACGUUUUUGGUGAUAAUUCAACUUUCCGGAGGAGUUUUGAUGCAAGGCAAAUUGGAGAAGGAAGCUAAGAGGCUGAAGAUUGUCCUGUCUGAAUUUCAUAAUUUUCCAUGAAGCCAUUCAUUCCAGUUUCACAAAUCAAUCCCGCAGAAGCUGUUUUCCCGUCAGAAUUGCGUAGCUGUGGGAGAAUGAAGAUUUGAAGGCUUUCCCGAUUUUUCCUAGUAGCGUGCGAUAUAUGCCUGGAAAGAUAAGAGAUAAAGCUACAUUUCCCAUAUUUUUACAGAAUUUUCCAGAAGAUAAAUAUACCCCAAAACUGGCGUGCAAAACAGAUGCCGUGUUUCCCAAGCCAAGAAGGAUUCUUUCCUAGUUUGUGUCAUUAAUUGUUUAGGAGUUUGUUUUAUUUUAGGAGAGUUUCUCCCAGACCUUUUAGGGUUUUUCUAGUAUAAAUAAAGUCCCUAAGCUCUCUCGAAAGGGAGCUCUCGACACCAUCCAUCCCCCCACACCCAUACCACCCACAAACACACUACCAUUCAUCAUCUCCGCAAUAAGUGAAGAAGAGCUUAGGGACGUGCUUUGCCAUGGAUUCCGGGUUCUAUCUUUCUUUUAUUCUUAUUUUUAUGUGUAACUAAGUUAUUUUCUAAGGUUUAUGAUGAAGCCAUGACAUGAAUAUUUGCGAAGUACUUUGUUAAUUAUUAUCCGAUUAUAUGUCAUGUUGUAUUCUUAAUCUUUGUGGGUAUUUUAUUCUAGGUUCGAGUUUCUAAUGACUGAUCACCUUUAGGAAUUUUGUAUUUAGAUAUUUAGAUAAAUCUAUGAGGAUGACCAAUAUCAAUUAGGUUUAUUGGAACUAAGAUUAAGAAGAGUAGACAAACUAGUGAGGAUGACCAAUAUCAAGCUAGUCCUACUUGGUUGACAUGAUUCUUCUACGCUUAAUGGGUUUUUAUGUGUUUAAUUGUAUGCCUAACCAAUAGGAUAUAAUUAUCAUGUAGAGAUACAAAAGUUGAUGCCUGACCAAGGAUUAAUUCAUACCUUAGAAAGAACAACCUUUAACAUUGGCAUGGUAAUUGGAUAGUAGUUGGCUUUAGGAAAAGUAAAUAGGAUUGUUGUUGGUGGAUUCAUAACCUUAGGUUUUCUUGUGUCGUGUGUGUGUUUUAAUUAAUUGUCUUUUAUUUUUCUUGUUAAUUUAGUCUUAAUCAAUUAUUCAAUUCAAUCUAUCAUUUGUUUGUUUAAUUAAGUUUAGCGUGAUUAAUCGGUUAAAUUGGUGUUAAAGCAAUCCCUGUGGGAUCGACCUCGUAUUUGCAUAUCUUACUACAAUUGAUUCGUGCGCUUGCGAGUUUAAUUUGGUUUAAAUUAAUCUAUUAUUUAGGUUAGUUUAAAUUUACAUCAAGUUUUUGGCGCCGUUGCCGGGGAUUGCCCCUUAAUCCCAAUUUGGCUUGAUGAUUGCGUUUUACUAAAUUUUAUUUUUCGUGUUCUAUUUUUAUUUGUGUAGUGAGUUUAUUUUUCUUUCUUUCUAUUUUCUGUUUUAUAAAUAAAAUAAAUAAAAACAAAAAAAAAAAAUUUGCGGCAGUUUGUUAGUUUUCAAACCCACUGUAGGAUUCUCUUUGCUCGUGACUUCUUUGUCCAUUAGUAUUAGGAUUACUUGCUCGUUUUUUUUUAAGUUCUUUCCCUUAUUUUUGUUUUACGAAAAUUUUUAAUUUUCCUUUUCCAUUGUUAAUUUCGUUCAUUGUUUCCCGUAGGAGGAAAAAGAUGGCUUAUCAACAAUUUCCAAUGGAAUAUUGGCCUAGUUAUCAAUUCUCAGAAUUUAUACAAGAAGCCACACCCGUUGAAGCCGAGACACCUUCAUGGGAAGAAGCUUUGGCACUGAUGGUUCAAGCUACUACGCAAUAUCAACAAAUCACCUCUCAAAUUUUGCAAGAUCUCCAACAAGGGCAGCAAGCGUUCCAGCAAGCAUUCCAACAAGAGGCGCAAGCAACCGAUCAUGCAAUCGCAAAAUUGGAGAAGCAAGUUGGACAACGUGCUGCGAUAUUGAGUGAAAGGGACCAAGAUAUAUUUCCAAGUGAACCUGAAGCUACUCCGAUUGAGCAAGAUGCAUUCCAUGAACAAGAUAGUGCCCACAUGACAUUGAGAAUUGAGGAGGACAUCAACCAAGAGUCGAGUGAAUUAGCAGAAGGUGAAGAGAAGAUAGAAAAUUCAAAGUUGGAGGACCCAUUGAAUGAGCCGAUUAGCCAAAUAGCCAUUACUAAUUGGGCACUUCCUGCCGACAUUCAAGUUGUUGAUGCAGUGCCGACUAUUAAAGUGCUAGAAGCAAAUCCAUCUCCAUUGGAUAUUCCCGAGUGCUACAUCCUUAACACUAAUGAUUCUAAAGUUCCAAUUUCAUUCAUUCUACAGGAAUUCAAAGAUCCUUUUGAAGUCCAUUGCUCAAAUUAUGGAAGAGAGUUUGGAAUUGAACCAAAAUUUGAAGUCAUGUACGCUCAACUCAAUUCCAUUCCGAUGGCGAAGAUAUGGUGGAAGAGACAACGGAAAAAAAUGAAGAAGAGAAAAAAGUCUCAAACUUUGAAAUUGAAGAAACAAAAAUAUGCAGUGCCUCAUUGCCUUAUAUCAACACCAAAUUUCAAAGCUACAAGGUGGAAGAAAGGGAAUAAGAAGAAGAUUCACGGAGUGGUUCCUCAUUUCAAUGAUCCACCACCCUCCAAUUAAUUUCGACAUAGUCUAGCUCAUGACUAUAAAGAAGCGCUUCUUGGGAGGAACAUGGGCAUCCAAACUUCCAGUUUGGGGGAGAUCAUUAUAUGGUGAUUCGUAUCAUGCUUCACCAUCGCUCAUCCAUACUCCUAUGAAAAAUCCGGGGAAGUUUUUCACACCCUCUCUUUCAAUGUGUUAUUUGUUAUCUUAUCUCUGUUCUAAACAUUGAGGACAAUGUUUAAUUUAAGUUUGGGGGGAGGAUUUGAGGAUUUUGAAUUUCGUUUCUGUGUUUUGUUUUCGUUGAGUUUUCAUGCUGUCUUUGUUUGCUUAAAACUGUUUUAAUUGGAAAGGAAUUUGAAGAUUUUGUCCGCGUUGUCUUCUUCAAUUUUUUGUCUUCUUUCCAGUCAUAUAAAGACCAUGAAAAUCGGAUUUUUCUUUCAAAAGUUAUGAUCAAAUCUUUGUCUAAAGGUCGAAACUGCCUGUGGUUUAUCAUAUUUUCACCGUGCUGUUUGCAAUUUCUGUUGGCAUAUGUUUGGUUUCUGUGGUUAUUUGUCCUACUUUCCGUUCUUUUAUUCAAGUCUUAAUGUUAUAAAAAUUCAAAAAGAUUUUAUUUUUCUUGAGUCGUUUAGUUAGACCUUCCAUAAGUCAAUGAUAAUAAUUCGCUUUCUUUUAGGUCAACAAACUUAUUUGAAUUGGUUCUUCUUAUGUGAAAAUUCAAUUUUUUUAUAUGGAUAAUCUAAAUUCUUACAUGAUCAUUCUCAAGUUUACUUUAUACCAAUAACCAAUGUCGGUAUGAUUAUCUCUUACUUAGAGAAUUAUAUACGGAUUUUAAGUGAAACUUAUUGAACCCUUGUGAGAUUUUGAGCCUCUUGCAUAUUCUUUUUGUGAGUUUCAUGAUAGCAUUAUCAUUCACUAGAACUUGCUUCAAUAUCUCUUGAGGCGAAAUCCUAAGUCAUGCAACAUUAGAGAGAUGAUUAAGGCCAUGUUUGGAUCGUUUGAGCCUUUCUAACCAACCUUUUAUGUUAUAUUAUCCCUAGUUAUCCUCUUGAAGCCAAACACUUAGCCUUUUCUUUCAUCACCCACAUUCACCCUUUACCUAUUUAACCUAUAUUAUCCAUACCCUAUAGCUUAGGAGAUACCAAGUGGACAUCAAAGAAGACAAGGUUGGGUUCUACAUCAAAGAUGUGGCGUGUACCGAGGUACCAUGUGUAGUAUUAUUCUUAUUUUGUGAUUACUUUUCUGAAAAAAAGAAGAAAAAGAAAGAAAAAAAAUAAAAAAAUAUAUAUAUAAAAAAAAAGAAAUAGAACAGAAGAGUUUGAAAUUGUUCCAUCUUUAUGACAUGAGUCCUGGACGCCAUUAAUAGAAGAUUCAAGUUUCAAGAGAGGGCCGACCGAAUUACAUUAUGAAGAUAUCUUGGUAUUUCUUAAGUUUUAGUUUCUUCUCAUAUCCUUUCUUUGUUAGCCCAUACCCUAGCCUAAUAUUACAACCCAUGUAAAGACCUUUGAUCUUUGGUGUUGCAUUGUUUUACAUUAGUGGAGAGUUGAUAUGAAGAGCAAGCUUAUGGGGUUUUAUAUUGCUUAUCAUGAUUUGAGUGAAACACUUUGCCCUUUAAUAUGUGAUUUCUUUAUGAGUGAUAUUUAUGGUGGAGGAUUUGAAGUGGAAGCUUUGGUCUGCAUAUACCUAUCCGGGUUGAGUAAGUUGUAUUGAUAUUGGUUGUGUUACUCAUUACACUUGAGAAUGUUGUGUAAGGUUUGGUUAAUUUUAUUUUGAAAAAUGUUUAGUUCUCUUAAGUUUGGUGACCGUCUCUUGAUUGCUUUUGAGGCUAAUUUAUGGAAGGUCUAUUGUUUUCCUUGUCUUUUAUUUUUGUUUUGCUCGAGGACUAGCAAAAGCUUAGUUUGGGGGUAUUUGAUAGGUGCAUUAUUUAUCAUAUUUUCAUAUUAAUUAUCCCUAAGUUUUGUUAAGGAAUUGAUUACAAAAGAGCCUUAUUAUUUUCCUUUUUUCUGUUUCAGCCAUUCUGCGCACUUAGGACGUUUUUGGUGAUAAUUCAACUUUCCGGAGGAGUUUUGAUGCAAGGCAAAUUGGAGAAGGAAGCUAAGAGGCUGAAGAUUGUCCUGUCUGAAUUUCAUAAUUUUCCAUGAAGCCAUUCAUUCCAGUUUCACAAAUCAAUCCCGCAGAAGCUGUUUUCCCGUCAGAAUUGCGUAGCUGUGGGAGAAUGAAGAUUUGAAGGCUUUCCCGAUUUUUCCUAGUAGCGUGCGAUAUAUGCCUGGAAAGAUAAGAGAUAAAGCUACAUUUCCCAUAUUUUUACAGAAUUUUCCAGAAGAUAAAUAUACCCCAAAACUGGCGUGCAAAACAGAUGCCGUGUUUCCCAAGCCAAGAAGGAUUCUUUCCUAGUUUGUGUCAUUAAUUGUUUUAGGAGUUUGUUUUAUUUUAGGAGAGUUUCUCCCAGACCUUUUAGGGUUUUUCUAGUAUAAAUAAAGUCCCU
rnacentral:lncRNA from 1 species